UACGUAGGUGGCAAGCGUUGUCCGGAAUUAUUGGGCGUAAAGAGCUCGUAGGCGGUUUGUCGCGUCUGCCGUGAAAGUCCGGGGCUCAACUCCGGAUCUGCGGUGGGUACGGGCAGACUAGAGUGAUGUAGGGGAGACUGGAAUUCCUGGUGUAGCGGUGAAAUGCGCAGAUAUCAGGAGGAACACCGAUGGCGAAGGCAGGUCUCUGGGCAUUAACUGACGCUGAGGAUCGAAAGCAUGGGGAGCGAACAGG
rnacentral:rRNA from 1 species